rnacentral:rRNA from 1 species
CGCCUUUUGAAUUAUAAAUAUAAAAGGUCCUGCCUGCCCAGUGACACCUGUUUCAACGGCCGCGGUAUAAUGACCGUGCAAAGGUAGCGUAAUCACUUGUCUUUUAAAUAAAGACCAGUAUGAAUGGCAAGACGAAAGCCUAACUGUCUCUCUAAGCUAGUCAAUAAAAUUGAUUUUCCCGUGCAGAAGCGGGAAUAAUAAUAUAAGACGAGAAGACCCUGUGGAGCUUUAAACUUAAGCUAACAAACUAUAAAUGCACUAGCACCAAGUUUUGGGUUGGGGCGACCAUGAGGUAAAACACAACCCUCAAGACGAAAACUAAGAAGGACACUUCAUAUAAAUAUUAAUAACAUAAUUGACCCAAUAAUUGAUCAACGAACCAAGUUACCCCAGGGAUAACAGCGCAAUCUACUCAAAGAGCCCUUAUCGACGAGCAGGUUUACGACCUCGAUGUUGGAUCAGGACCCCCAAAUAAUGCAACAGUUAUUAAAGGUUCGUUUGUUCAACGAUUAAAGUCCU